UUCCACGAGAACGAGUUUGAACGAGUAAAAUCCCCAAGUCGGCACGUGUUCAUCUGUCAUAAAACUAUUCUUCUUACACGUUUGCAGAAUGACUGGCGAAAUGAUAGCGAGAGCAAAAAUAAUGCAGUUGCUUUCGAAAUCGCAACGCGAAAGAGGAGAGUCGAGCAUAUAAUACUUGAAGAAAAUCAAUUAGUAUUUUUGCGAUUGCAGAAAACGAAAAGACAGAGAACGCGCGAGACUGAUGACAUGUAUGCCAUUUCAACGAGAUACGAGAUUCAACACGUGUCACGUAACUAAUCCUCAAACGCUCCAGCUUGAUCUUUUCUAAGAGCAUGCACAUUUCAUGGCAAAUAGUGUUCAAGGUGAAAACGAGUAGAUAUGAUAUCAGGCUUUUUAUUUAAUCAAUGCGUACGUAUGCAUGUGCGAAUACUCUUCCAAUUGUUUUAUUUAACGUAUUCAAAUAUUCCUAAUGAGUUAGUCGAUGUAUUUGAUAAUAAAUUGACUUGAAUAUUAUGAUUUGUUUCCUUUUACAUUCUUUUAUAAAAUUUCAAAAAAAUAUCAAUCUAACGAAAUCACGGAAAGACUUUAAUCAUUGACAAAAGGUCGUCGUAGUUUAUUACGUAAGAGUUCCAUGAGUGUCGAGCAAGUUCCGCGCUCGAGAUAUUACUGAUAUCCGUGUGUAUCAGUGAAAACGUGCUCUUAUCGUUAGUGGUAAAGCGAGUCGUCUCAGAUGGACAUUAUUUCUCUCAUCUCUUUGAUCCGUUAUUUCAAUCGAGGUAGCUCAAACCGGUCAAUGAUCCUCCUUGGUAUGAACGGAAUAGUUAAUUGACUAACGCAGAUAACUGGUAUAUUUGAUGACUCGUUUAAAUUGUAAAUAAUGGCAUGACUUGAAAAAAGAAGGAAGUUGCUUUACAUUCGAAUGGUUGGCAGGGCUAUAGCAGUUUGCACUUUUACCACUUCGUUUCUUGUUAUUUAUUUCAAAAUUCUUUUCUCAGAUAUCUUAGUUUGAUUAGAUUCUUCCGAGAUGCUAUGUCAAUAUGGUUUGCGUAAAAAAAUUGUAAAGUAAUAUACUUUAAGAAAACUGCAGUUUCCUGGAUCAUAUACGUACUUACAUGCGUAAGGUAUAAAUAAAAUUUCCUCGUAUAUAUUAAAGCAUCGAACAGAGAAAAAAUUAGAAAUUGUCACGUCGUAACAUUUGUAUUCUUAUUUUUGAUUUUAGAUGUUUCGACUUUCGAUUUGCACUAAUACUUAUUUGGACACUUAUGUAACUUUUUUAUGAUUAUUCAUAAAAAAUUUCAUUAGUAUUUUGUUUGUUAUUAUUUCAAAAAAGCAGGAUUCUUCUAUUCAUGUUGAACCUUAUGAUCAUAUAAGAAAUCUUCGAAGUCCGGUUAUUUUCUACGCUUCUAUACCAUUCUAUACCGUUAUAGAAAUAGCUCACGCAUUCAUGACGUUAAUGUAAACUAAUGGUCACCACCUCGACAUAUAUAGCUGUAACGCUUUAUCAGUAAAAUAAUCCGAUUUGCUCAUACAACAUCCUAAAUAUGCUACGUAUGUUAGCGAAUUACCUUAAAUAUCAUGAUCAUUUAGAAAUUGUUCACUAAGAUAACUAAAAUGGGAAAUAUAUAAGUAAUAAUUAAAUUGUUUAUAAAUGAUAAAACAA